CGACUCUUUUGUGAAACACACCGUCACAUUGUAUCUCAGAGCAAAACGCCAAGCAGAAGGUUCAGUUUACAUUUCUUACUUCUACUUGUACCUUAAACCAUCACUAUUGUCUUGUGCAAAUGAAAGGGUCAAUGACCCCAAACACACCUCUAGGUUAUGUGAGAGCUAUUUGUACAAGAUGAAGAGUGAUUGAGUGCUACAUCAGAUGACCUGGCCUUCACAAUCAAUCUAAAUUCACUUGAGAUGGUCUGGAAUGAGUUGGACCGGAGAGUGAAGGAAAAGCAGCCAACAAGCACUCAACACCUCUGAGAACUUCCCAAGAUUGUUGAAAAACUAUUUCAGGUGACAUUGUGAUAAGGCUGUCUAAGAUAAUGCCAAAAGUGUAC